CGGGGCAUAGCUCAGCCUGGUCAGAGCGCACGGUUCGGGACCGUGAGGUCGGAGGUUCAAAUCCUCUUGCCCCGACCA
rnacentral:tRNA from 2 species